GUCCACGCCGUAAACGAUGAGUACUAGUUAUUAGAGGUAUUGACUCCUUUAGUGACGCAGCUAACGCAUUAAGUACUCCGCCUGGGAAGUACGGUCGCAAGACUAAAACUCAAAGGAAUUGACGGGGGCCCGCACAAGCGGUGGAUUAUGUGGUUUAAUUCGAAGCAACGCGCAGAACCUUACCUAGGCUUGAAAUCCUACGAAUACCGAGUAAUGUUGGUAGUGCCCGCAAGGGAAUGUAGUGACAGGUGCUGCAUGGCU
rnacentral:rRNA from 1 species